UCCCUGGUAUUAAUUUGCCUGCAGAUAAGUAUGGUGCCUUUAGUCUCUCAUUCACUCUGAAGGCUUCAGAAGAUACUUUAGACUUCUACAGGAGAGUCUCAGCAAGUGGACCAUGCUGAUGCCUUCUAGAUGAAAAGAAGGCAAGCUACUAUCUCUUCACACUUAAAGAUCUCCCAGGAGCAAAGGGAGAAUGAGAUAAGACCAAGUGCUCUUCCAAUGAACCUUGGAGGACAGCAAGCCAAGAAGGAAGCAUGUCCUUUACCCGUAUCCCCAAAUGCUGUGAACAUCCAAGUGGAAAGUUCCACCCAAGCUGUCUGGAGACCCAGCAGCAGCAGGACUUGGACCCUUCUUUUUAACCUGUAAAUUGACACAAAUGGGCAAAUUAUGGACCCAGCAGGAGGGAUUAUGCCUGAGGCAGGCAAGAUGUAACUCACGCAGAAAAAGCAGUGAGAAAGGAAAAGCUUAGUGCCUCCACUUCUUGCCCAUUCCCUCUCUCCCAGGUCAAGAAGCAACACCUAUUUGAAAUCGUGGUUGUCUCAGCAAGGCACAAAUCCUGCAGCUGGCCAAGUCCUGCAGGCAGGGGCAGAAGCCAUGUUCUGAAUCAGCUUGCCUGAGGCCACCUGGCUCAUGUGCCAGAAGGUGCCAGCUCCAAAUGUAAGGCUUUCAAGCUAGAAAAUCUCAGACACUUGACAAUGUGCUUGUAUAUACAGAAAAUGCCUGUGACAGCUAGACUGCUAGAUAGACCUUAAUAAGAAUUGUUCUUAAAACCAAAUGUUCAGAGAUAUUAGUCCAAAUGAAAAAUCAUGUGGGUCUGAGAGAAGAAAACAAAAACUAAACCAAACAAAAACCAAGUCUUGUUGGUACUAACUCCUUCCCAUUAAAUUAAACUAACCCCUUCCUAUUGUUUGGAAACAAAGCCUGAAAGGUGGUUUGAAAUGUGCAAAUGUUAAUAGUGCAGGUUAUUGCAAAUCUCUCUUUACUUGAUUUUCCUUUCCCUUCUGCUCCCACAUGCACCCCCCCCCCCCCCCCCCCCCCCCCCCCGCAGACCUGCUGGUGUACACACCAUGGUAAUUCAUUUCCCGGCAGACUUUCUUUGACCGCAGUGGAUAGAGAAGGAACAAACAGGUCGAAAAAUUUGUUAGCAUUCUAUUAAAGUGCUGCCAGAAAGGGUGGCGAUUCCUGCCUAGUGGCACCGAGGCUUGUAUUUUCUUGGUUGGGAGUGUAAAUACGAGCACGGUGCCCACCCCUGCCCUCACCCUGCCCCGGGCUGUGCUGGAGGGGCUCGGGGAGCAGCGCAGAGGCUCAGUGAUGGGGUGCGAGUGACACCCUGUGGCCACCUCUCCCCGGGAUCUUCCCGGACCUAAAGAGCUAAGGCUGGUGAGAGGGCUGCAGGCAGCCCCUCCAGAGGGAUCCUCUCCUCUCCUGCGCUGCGAAGUGGUGCUGCUCCUGCUGGGGGAGGAAGAGGAGCCGCACUUAGGGUCAAAGGGCUCUCUGAGCAUUCCCUGAGCUUCAGCCAGCCCUGAGGACUUAAAGGUGUACCCCAAGUGUCUCUGACCCUUGUCACUAAUUCCUUUUGCCCUGCUCUUGCCCCAUCUUUUUUUUUUCUACAUGGCACUGCACAGCUGGUCACUAAGUGGGCCUGAUUUCAAGAGCUUUCAGUAGCUCCAGCCUAACUAAUGCAGGAAAGAAAAUAUAUUCAAGGAUAUCUUCGCUUGUGGGAUUGCCAGCUGUGUUCAGACAGCUGUGGAGGGUUGGACAGUUCGGGCAAUGACUGGAGACACACCUUCAACUUCUCUGAACCAAUGCAAAGGGCAGUGGAGAACCAGUUAUCUUUUAAUCCAGAUCCAGACAUAGGAGCUGUUCAGGCAUUGUCUUAUUUUAGCCUGUUACAUGCAGUGAAACCAGUGUGAUACAGAUCCAAGUUCGUUAAUCCAAAGUGUUUUGAGGCUCACCAACAGCCAGACCUGCCUGCAUUCUAGGUUUGGAUGGAGGUCUACCUCAUCUUAGACCCAAACACCGAAUCUACAAAUGUUUCUCACCAUGGAUAACUACAUACUUGGCUUUGUAUGUUGUUGUUUGUUUUUGUUUUGCUUUUCUAUGAUGUCAAGAGGUGAUGAUAUUUUAUUCCCUACACAGAAGGCAUUGCCCAAUCCACCACUGCUUAAUUCUGAGGGUGCAGAACAUUUUGUUUUGCUGUUCAGAGCACGGAGGAAACAUAUCUCAUAUAGGAGGAAGAGAAACCCCACACUGUGAUCACAUAGUUGCUGUAUUACUUGUCUGGAUGAAGUAUUGUUUUGUUCAAAAUGUCAAAUUCUGUGUCUGUUUCAGCAAUCCAGAGAUGAGUUAUCUUGAAAAUCAUCCUUCUGUCACUGAAUUUCCAAAUUACAAGGGAAAAAAGCAAGUGAAAGGAGCUCUGCCAUUAGGUUUGCCAACUCCUUCCAUUUCAGCAGCAAGCCACUGGUUUCACUGUCCCCUGCCCAAUUAAGUGUUUAUGAUUUUAGGUUUUCCUGCAGUAGGAGGGAGAAAGUGAUUAAUCUCUAAUAAAGAGAUGGAUGGGAGGAGAGAUUUUAGUGUACAUUCACUCAAACUUUGGGGUACCUGCACCUCCUAUCACUCUCUCAGCAUUGCUCUCGAUUGGAUCAUUUUAGAUCUUUGCAUACCUACUAAUAUCCUCUGCAAAAGAAGGUGGGGAAAAUGUAGAUUGCAUAUUUGCAUAUAUCUACAUUCAUUUGCAUACAUUUCAGCACAUUCCCUUAGACCUAUAUGCUCUCCUGUUAGGAAGUGAUUGUCCACCAAACUAUAAUAUGAACACAUUACCAUGUUCCUGUCCAUUUCCACAGCACAUCAUCUCAGUAAUAGAGCAGGUCAGCUCAAAAUACAGGUUAUGAAAUAAUGUCAUAUCCCUCUGCUCUGAUCUGUACUAACGUAUAUACAAAUGCAAAGGCCUGUUGUCCCAAACAAGCACUCAUCCUUCCGCUUCUACUGGAUUGAUGUCUGCAGACCCAUCUGAGCUGUAUCGGGAAUUCCCCAAACUGCCACAACUUCAUUCCUCAUCACACAAGUGUGAAAACAUGAACAGGCGAACCACCAGCUUGUGAGAUCCAGUAACCACACACAAAUCCCACCGCCCAAGAAAUUUGGUUCUGCCAGACAUUUUCCAGUGCAAUAUCUUAAUUCAGUCAUUCUCCAGUUUGAGAGAUGAUCAAGACAAACACCACUUUCAGGGUCCAAUCUGAAGUUCAGUGGUGGUCCUGGAGGAUGGUGGAUCAGGUUCUCAUUUUCCAGGGAAUCAGAAGACUUGGCCUUCACUGAAAAUCAAAACACAACAGAAAAUAGAAUCAACCCACCACCUCUUUCUAACCCUUCAAGUUGUGAAAAUUAUCUUCUGAAUGUAAAUAGCUUCAGUAAUUAAGAUUGUUGAAUAUACAGUACUAGGGAAUGUACAGUUCAUGAUUUUUUCAAUGAGAACAUAUUAAAUUAUGCCUUUUGAUAUCUCUUUUUGAAAUGUGAAAUUAUCAAAUUUUUAUGUGCUGGAUGUGUGUGCUGACUCUGUCCAUACAUAGCAAAUGCACUUAAAAUGCUAACAUUUCAGUGUAAUGGUUUGAUUGAUGAGAUUUUUCUUAUAAAAGGGGGAGGAGAGGGAAAUCAGAUAAUAGAAGAUGGCUUGGGGAGUUUUGAUAAGGAGCAUUUGUGAGUCUCCAUUCACCCAGCUUCCAAAUGAUCCAGAAAAUGAUUGAGUCCCUUCUGAGUAAUCAAGGAAUAAAACUGGUUGCUGGGGGCCAGACCUUCACCUGUUCUAAAGUGACUUAUUUGCAGCAACUGCUGCUUUACAGCAGGUGACAUUCUGGCCCUGAAAUGCAAUAUAGGAAGAGCUCUGCUCCAUCGUGUGUGCCAUCUGGCCGGGGUGGUCACUCCUCCAGCAGCUCUGUCCCUGUGCUCCAGGUCUCAGGCUGGUCCCUUGCUGAGUUUUAGGGAAUAACGAGUAAAGGAGGUAGGACAUCCCUCUCAGGACCUUUGUCUUCAGAGAACCACUGUCCAUAAAUGCAGUUAUCCCACAUCUAUCAGCUUAGCCUCUAUGUGUGGGAAGGACUGAAUAGUGGAAGUCAGAGGUCUGCUGUAUUAAACUUGCCUUGGCUGCUAAGCAGAUGGUUCAUUUGGAGAGAGCUGAAGUCCCAGUAAUUCCUCUGUGCUGCAGCUUCAGAUCCAUCGUCCUUUAGCUGUUAACAGCCAGAGGGAGGCAGGCAUAUCUGUGCUUCAGAAUAGGGGCUGGAAGAUUCAUCAAGCCAACCCAAACAUAAAUCCAGCACCAUCAGGCCUUUCCCUGCAGCUAUAUGCUGUCUCCCAUGUGAUUUUUAGGCAACACUUUCCAAUCUACUUUCUGAUAAUAUCACCAUCUAGUAGCACUUAGGACACUGUCCCAAUAAUAACACACACAAAACCCCUCUUCCUGCAAUUAUUUCCUUUCACCAAGAGAGCUACCAGGUUGUGGGCACAUCUGUUGGCUUGUUUAUACUUUAAUGUCAUCCAAGUAAUAAGAGCAUCAGGAAAAAGAAAACAAAACACAGAAAAGCCUCUAGUGGGGUUGGUGCUGCUGUGUGUGCCUAUGGUAACUACUGUGAGCAUUAAGAUGAAGCACUUCAAGCAUGAAUAAUAAUAACAAAAAAAAGUCUAGAAGAUAGAUUAAAGCACUCUAGCACUUUGUAAUAGUGUUUGUAAUGCAGAUAAAGCGUUUGUACUCUAAUUUCCAGCACCACCAACAAAAUAAAUAAGUGUGCUUGGAUUGCAUUUUUCUUUCAAAAACUGUUCCAAAAACUGUUCGUAUUGAAGGAAAACAACUUAAACUGGGUUUAGAAACACAAUGUAAGUGGGAAAGUUAGGCACUGUUAUCAGCAUGACAAGUGCAACCUAUUCCUUUUAUAAAUGGUGCUUGAAGAAAGACACAAAGCUCAUCUGCUCAAGAUCAUUGUGUUUUAAGUUUAAUUAAGUAGCGAAUUAAUGUUUGCAAAAUGCUUUAAGAUCCUUCAGCACACAGUGCUCAUACAAGAGCAGAGUGGUUUUAGCAUGAAAUGCAUUUUGGGGAGCUGAACUAAACUAUUCCUGUCUGAGAGCUCAAUCUGAAGUGGCCAGGGAGAAGAUCCUCACUGACUUCAAGCUGGAUCGGAUCAAACCUGCAGGACAGGAGUCUAGAUUUAGCAGGCAAAUCCCAGUGAAGAGAGCCAGAAUACUUCCACGCUUAGAGUUAGGCAUGCAUUUUAAGUAGCUUGCUUUAGAGCGCGUAUUUUCAUAUGCAUGCUGUUCGUAGAGCUGAGGGCCAGAAAAGGCCAUCAGCACAGCUCGGCUGACCUCCUGUUUA